GCUGAUAUUGUUAAUAUAAACUCCAUCUACCGAACACCCGACGUUGACUUUGACGACGUUGACGACGUUGAUAAUACUUCAUCCAAAGAUUUAAAAAAAUAAGUUGAUUUGUCUGGAAAUCGAACCGACUCAAAUGUAAAAAAAAACCAUCCUGUAUUUUUAUGAUGCCAAUCGAAAGAAUGCUUAAAAAAUAAGUUAUCUCAGAAAUAAUUAUGAUAUCGCAAAAGAAAUGAAUAGAGUAAAAUUUUUGAUUAAAAUUUCAAGAUUCGGUAUAAUUCCCAGAAAAAGUAAGCAAAUUUCAAUUUUUUUUAGAAAUUCUUUGAAUGCAUUAUUACUUACUUUUAAAAUUAAAUAAAGUCUUCUUUCAGCAAAAUAUCCUAUCUACGAUAUUUAAGGUACUUUCCAUUGAUAUCCCAUAGUCUUGGGACGCCCUGUAUACUCCUGCAACCUGCAACUCCGUCGUUGAGCUCCGGCAACCUUACUCACCGGCAGGAACACAACACUAUGAAUAGGGUCUAGUGUUAUUUGGCUGCGGUUUUCUGUAGGUGGAGGUACUUCCCCAGUUGAACUCUGCUCUAGAUCUGGAAUGACAUCCUCUGUGCUUAGCCCUACCACACAAAGCGAGAGGCAUUCACAGUGCCCAUACCUAUCUUUUGGACAUAGUUUAAGGACAUCCGGGUAUGUCCUAAUAGAGUAGAAUAGAAUUGAUGUUUUAAGAUCUGAAUUCAUAAUAUAUGAAAGAUAACGCACGUUAGGGUAUAAGAAAUGCCACAAAAUAACAAAGUUUCUGAUGUAAAUAGUAUAGCCAAGAUUUUUUUUCCCAAAAAAUCUUAUUUUCUUAGGAAUUAAGUAAUGGUUUCUAAUUCAACGAUUUAGGUAGUUACUCCUAUGGACCCAAUAAUUCUUACAUCCUGUAUUUAUGUAGACUAUUCAAGUGAAAGUCACACUUAACUUAGGAAUUUAUGAAAUGUCACGCGAUGGACUGUUUCGCGUUUUUAUGUAAUCUCUAUAUUAUUAUUAGAUUGUAUUAUAUGACAGCGAUAGCGUUUUUAAGUUAAAUGGACUCCGGUAAUGAUAAUAGUCGGCAUAAUUCGAACAAUACUUAUAAGAUGUGACAAAGAUAUGAUAUCGAUCUUUCAGUGUCAAAUGGGACCGUUUUUGUUUGAAAAAAGUUUCAUCUUAUAAGCAUUGUUUGAAUUGAGCCGAGUAUCAGUUCUGUGAAGCUUUGAGAAUAUUAAAAAGUAAUAAAAUAAGGCAAAAUGGAAAUAUCUUACAAAUCACAAACACAAAGUUCUCACGUUCGUCGCAUUCUCGCCAGAAUGCUAGAAUAUCGUUUCCCUGCACUGGUAGUGCAACUGCCAAAUUGCAUAUCGAUAUGAAAUUGGGACUCACGUAGAACUUUGAUUUCUGGAAGUGCUUAGUUAUAAUUAAUAAAGAAAUACUUUAAAGACUAGGAGGCGUCAUCCUAGAAGCACUAGAGAAAGUUUAAUCUGGUGGGUAUUUUGUAACAAUAUUGUUGAUUUUUUUAUUAGCAAUUAUUUCAGAAGACACUUAUUGCAACAGGAACACUUAUUGCAACCUUAAUGUUAGGUAUUCUUGAAAAAAAAAAACACUUUUAAUUAGGUACAGUCCGCAUCAAAAGUAGCGGAUGAAACAACGUGCCAAAAGUAUCUGAUAUUUCGUGUGACUUUUCCAAAUGUAAAUGUGUGUGUGUAUGUAAAUAAUUUAAAAAAAAUCGCGUUCAAGAAUAUAUCUUUUACAGUCUUAGUUGUUCUAUAUUAAAGACUCGACUUUUUGUUAAGCUGUUACAGAAUGGUAGAUACUUAUGAAGCGUUAUUUGAUCCGCUACUUUUGAUGCUGACUGUACUUGUAGUGGAAUACAACUUAUUAAUUUUAACUUCUAAACUAAAUAGCUGCUCACAAAAUACAUACGAAUGAUGGACGGAUGGACGGAUGCAUGAACGUUUGAUAUUGAUGUAGUGGCCAGAUCACUUCAUGAUAUGGCUGACUUUAUCAUUAUGUGCUCAGCUCAGUCAGCUCCCUUACUCUGUUCUACAGGGUUGCGUAAUGCAUAGCAACCAUAAUGUGUUACGUUGUUAUUAUUUUUAAAAUAUCUUUUUAUAAUAUGUAUUCUAGUGUUAAGGUAUUGAUCUAUGGGUCACUAGUUGCAUGAAAUAAAGAUUUUCAUUAAAUGAUCGACUCUAAUAACUGGCCACGACAUAAAUAUGAAAUUACUCUUAGAGCGAAAUAAGCGCAAUCCCCCAAAAUAUAUGGGAGAGAGGGUAGGCUGUAUAUUAAAAUUACACUCCAUGUCAACCGCAAUUAGUUUUUUUUUAAUUAUUUCUUUAAUAUCCGUGUUUAUCUAAAAAUGUGGGCAUUGGGAUUUAUUAUGCAUUUCCUAAGAGUUGUAGUAGCAAAUCCGAUAGGUCCGGUCCUCUCAUAAUAAUUAUGAUUAAGUAUUUUGUUUGCUGGUUUAGUUGCUAUUACAUUGAUUGUAACGAAACACACAAUUUUAGUUUAGUUUAUUUUAAGAUUUUUAAGCAGGUCAUACACAGAUUUUGUGUGAGUUAUUUUGAUACACUCGAAAACUACUUCAGUAGUUUUGGGUGAUGUAACAAACACGGGGUCCGAGAAGUAUAUUUAAUUCUUCGUUUCAAAGCUGCGUCUAGCGUAUUACUCGGCAGGCGCGCCCGAGUUUUAUUAAUUUCAUAUCUAACAAUGACCGCUCACAGUUUGUUUCAGUUUUGCUAGAUUUUCAUUUCUCAGCCUUUGUGCUGGAGCGGUAGGCGCGUCAAACCGAUACGAUUCAACGGUAGUGGUAAUUAAUAUUAAAAUGUUUUGGGAGUUGUUAAGCAAAUCUGGACAGAGAUACAUUUUUGAAAGGCUAUUAUUGAAAUACUCGUAAUGGUAUUUGAUUUAUUCGUUUCAUCUGCCUCUCUCAAAAUUGUAAAACUUGUAUGAAUUCCUUGUUAGCUACGUAUGUUUUAUAUGUAUAUAUAGAAAAAACUUUAUAUCUAUUAUCGUUUAUUAUGUAAUUUGAAUAAUUUUAAUCCAAAAUCACCGAUCCUAUAAAAAUUAUAAACUUUUCCUUACUUCAAUUACAUUUAGCUUACAUUGUACAACAUGAUUUUAGAAGUAAAUAUUAUCAGAACCCCUCAGGGGCCGAAACCUUAACCGGGGUUUUUCAUAGGGUUAUUUUAGAAGUGGUUAUAAAAACCCCAACCAUAUCGGUAACCUUCUGAUAAGGUUAAUUUUCGAUUCGGUGACCGUAUCAGAUCGAGUUAACUCGUAUUACCGGUAACCGAAAUAAAAAUCCAGUGUAUUCAGUUAACUCAUAAUAGGGUUUUGGACCAGUUCAAAUGAUUGUAAUCUUUACACACGCUUAAAUUCAAUUUAUUAUUGCAUAAUAGCCGAUUACAAAUCAAAGUUAUUUCAACGUUUUUAAAAAUUCAACCCCUAAGGGGGGUAAAAAGGGGAUGAAGGUUUGUAUGGGGUUCAAGUUUUAUUUUGAGCUAGGAACUUGAAACUUCGUAAAAAGGUAUUUUACUAAAAUACAAGAAAACUAAUUUCAGCGUUUUUGAAAACUCAUACCUCAAGGCGGUGAAAAAAGGGUUGUAAGUUUGCAUCGGGAACGAAAAUUUUUGUAAAUAGUAAUCUUAAAAUGUUGUAAAAAGACACAAUAAUAGGCAACAAGAAAAGUGAUUUCAGCGUUUUUAGAAAUUAAUUCCCCAGGGGAGUAAAAGCGUUCAUUGAAAGUUUACAUUAAUCCCCUAAAUUGGUGAAAAAAAGUUUGCUCAUAUCCAUCUGAUCUGAAUAUCAAACAUUUAUUGGCACAACUAAAUGUUUUUCUUAUGUACAGCUAAGCCAACAUUUUGAAGUCUAAAUGAGCUUUCUGUGAUCCCGCUUUCCGCCUGUCCGUUAACCUAAACAUUCUUCGCUCUAAACUGAGCUUACGUAAAUAACUAACUAAAUAUUCGCGAAUCAGACUAAUUUAAAUUAAAUUGAACAAACAUUCUGGCGAACUUUGAAGUUGAGUUCCUAGAAUAUACGAGAAAUACAACAGACACAUAAUAGUACAUUACGAUACAAGUGCGAAAAAUAGGAAAUUCGAAACGAGUGGCGAUAAAUUAAAACACGACCGAAGGGAGUGUUUUAAAUCGACACGAGUUGCGAAUUACCUAUUCGCACAUGUAUCGUACAACGUUUUACAGUACAUAUGGCCCUUUAAAUGUUCGACACAGUAACAUAAUAUGCUACUUCUCGCACUAGUGCUAUAAAGUAGCCCCAUAUGUACUGUAAAAGUUAUUCUGAAAAUUCACGUACAAAUUUAUUAUUAGGUUUGUUUAAUAUGCGAUUUCAAGUUGUAUGAUUAGUCGAGUUAAUUCGUGUUAGCGUUCCUAAAUUUAUUAAAAUAAAUGAGUACCUGUAAAAUGUAUAUUAAAGAACAAAGCGAGAAAAAAAAAAUAGUUAGCUUUUUAGUACUGCAAAUAAGUUACGAGACUAGUUACCAGUUAUUAUGCCAGUUUAUGUUUAGUAGUUAUUCCAAGUAAUACAAAUGGAAUCAGUACAGUGAAGUUAAAUAAAACCUCAUUACGUUCACCCUUGAUUUGCCUAGUUUGAGAGCAGCCUGUGCUGAGGUUAAUUAGCUAAAGCGGGCAGCCUGUGAGUUGGAACAGGUUUGAAUAGCGUAACAUUAUACCUUUUUGGAUACUCAAUAAUAUUCGAUCGAAAUAAGGUGUGGUGUAAAUAAUAAGCGGCCUAGUGCGAGUCGGACUCGCGUUCCAAGGGUUCCGUAUAUCACACGAUUUUUAAAUAGUGGCUCUGCAAACAGUAAACCUCACUAUUAUUUAUUUACUAUAGACUUAAUAUAUUUUAACAAAAAAUCGACUACAAUAAAAUUCCGGGCCACAUAUUAGGCGUCACCCCUAUAGUCAUAUUAGGUACCUACCUAUACUACGAGGCAUCGGAUCACGCGCAGUGCCCCCUUUAACAAGCCCCGUUUAUAUGAGGACGCCUUUGGUGCCCAGAAAUUUACGUCGGCUUCCCCCGCCUCGCUUCUUUGAGUAUGAUAACGCCGUAGGCGCCCGACACUGGCCGCGCAGCGCACCUCAUACGGCUUAUCAGUCCGAGGGUCAAGGGCUCUUCAAGCAUACUGAAGCGCACGCACCACGUCAAAUAUACGUCAGGCUUUACCCGAAUUUUUCGUGUAAGUGUAUUUUCACUAUCUAGCAGGCUAGCGCCUUCCGAAAUAAUUACAGCAAAAACUUUUUCUUUCUCAGUAGAGAAAAUCCACGAUUAAAAGCCGCUUUAAUUGCGGUUUGUAUCAGUUUAUUAAUACAUUUACAGGUCAUUUUUGGAUUGAUUUAAUAUCAAGAAUUUAUAUACAUGGUUAUUGACUUCGCCUAUAAAAGAAUAUUCUCCAAUAUGCUUGGAACUGUUCACCUUAUUGUAGCAAAAAUAAUUCUCUUCUCUACGAAGCUCUUCUUACGGUCAAACUCAAAUUUAAAAAAUGGAAACCAUUAUUUAUGUGUUUUAUCGGACGGGAAGUUAUUACUGUAGAUAUUGUUUUUUCCUUUUUUUAAACACUAACUAACUCACUCAAAAACGCAAACAGGCAUUAAUAUAGCCGCGGGCUGCGUCUUCAGGACCCGGUCAGUAUCAUUUCAAGCUAUAGGAUAGCGUCAGAUAGAUAAACGACCUUACAUAUCUCGUUCUUACAAGACAGCCGUUUAUGAUCGUACGAAUACUCCUUAAUAAAAUCAAAUACUAUAACUUAUCUAUUUUUUAAGGACCUCAUGCGUGCAUACACACAGCUUAUAUUGCACAAUUAUAUUGACUGAACGAAUAUUGACUGGUACUGAAUGGCAGAAUAAGUUGUGCCUUUAACUUUUUUUAAAUAAUUAAAUAAUGAAAUUGUUUUUGACGUUUGUGAUGUGAAGGUUCGGUUUGAGUGCUGGUUAAUGCUUAAAUUAUGAUUAUUUUACCUGAUUUCCUCGCAUGUUUGGAGAAUAGCACUAUAUAUGUAUCGGCAGGAAUAGCAAUUCAUGGAUUUGUCUUCUUUGUCGGAUGACGCGACGUGGAGUAUACAGGGUGUAACAAAAAUAGCAGGGAUCCGUUUAAGGGCAUAUUCAGUAUCGUGUUCUGAUUAGGAAAAAGUAGAUGAUUUUUUUUCGACGCAAAUAGUUUUGGCCUUUGUAUGGAUGAUUGGCCGACUUGAACGACCUGCCCUAUAGAAAAAAAAAUCACGUCAAAUAAAUUUUUCCUGUACUUUUUUCUGAUCUUCUGAUCAAAUAAACUCUUAAACGGAUUCCCACUAUUUUCGUUAUACCUUGUGGAAUAAGUUAGCAAGCCCCACAUAGCCAACAUAUUUUUUAUGAUAUAGGUGGCAAACGAGCAGAUGAAUCGCCUGACGAUAAGCGAUUACCGUUGCCCAUAGACACCCGUAAUACAAGAGGAGUUGUAAGUGUACUUUCGGCUUUUAAGAUGGAAGUACGCUCUUUUCUUGAAGGUUUGAAGGUCGUAUCGGUCCGGAAAUACCGCAGGCAUGCAUAGUUUAGCUGUGCAAGGCAGGAAUUUUUUGGAGAAACGCACAGUUUAGGACUACUAACCGUCCACGUGGUGAAGAUGGAAAUGUUGUCGCGUAGGGCGAUGGCACAGUAUUUCCCGUGAUACAUUAGAUAGAAAAUAUAAAGCGAGGCUACAUCUCUACGCAGCGCCAAGUAGUCAAACCGAUCGGUAAUGCGCUGCCAGUCGACAAUUCGAGUCGCUCUCCGUUGGGUGUGGUCCAGAGGGAGAAGCUGGUACUGAGGUGCACGUGCCCAUAGAUGAGGACAGUAUUCCUUCCGUGGGCGAACUUGUGCCUUAUAAACCUGUAGGCGGUGGCCGGUAAGAAAUACUGUCUCGACCUGUUGAGCAACCCGAACUUUUUUGAGACCCUUGAAAUGGCCACGGAACUGGUUUUUCACACACAUAAAAUAAAUAUAUAUAUACUCGUAGUACAACAUAAUAAAAUCAGCUCUUGCCCUUACAGUUUAAUGAAGUGACUUCUUGACUAUACAAAGUUAUUAACAAAGUGCGGUGCUUGUAGAAUAUCACCACGGAACGCUUUAGUUUGCGACUAGAAUAAGAACAAUGUAGAUUGUUUUAACUAAAUUGGUGUUAAAAUACCUAUCCCAUGAAAUACAUACUUAGCAAUAGAAAACUUAACUCGACCGGUCAGAGAACGUCAGGUGCACUGAAAGCCGCUGUCGGCGACGUUUUCCGGCGUUUAGGUGAUUCGUGCCAUUGUCGUUUCACCUGAACUGAAUAGGUAUCUAAAAUUUGUUAAAACGUCCGCGCUGUGAGUUGCAACUGGCGUUUCAAUGUUUGUUUUGUCACUGUAGCUUGUACACAAAAUAUGGUUUAUUGAUAUAAUUAGAGAUUUUGCCAAGUAAGUACAUAAAAAUAGGUACACUGAGCUCUAUAGAAUGUAGUAUUUCAUUACGUUAUCGUUUGUAGGGGUCAAAUGAAUGAGAAUGUUUAAUGCAUCGUAUUCAUCAGUUAAAAAAUAACACUUAUGUUUAAUCUAUGAACGGGUUUGUUAUUGAUAAUAAGAGUACGUUGUAUUAUAGUUUUAACAGUAUGUUUAGGUUGCGCCUAGCCAAAUAUACCUAACAGACCUAUCUACUACUCAUCUUUAACUUCAGUUUGGUUUUUGUGACGCAAAUGACGCAAAAAAUUGUGACCCCAGUGGCCUAUUUGAAACGGUAGAAUGGUGACAAUAUACAUUUUAAAACGUUAACAAAAGUUAGCUGUCACUGUCGACUUGACGUGCUGCUUGUUAAUAUCCUCAGGCAAUAAAUAUUUGAUUGGCAUUUCAUUUAAACAUUAACGUUUGCUACAAGGUUGUUAAUAUCUCAAUUCUUUAGUAAGUAAACAGGAUUAUAUCCAUUUAGAGGCGUUGUUUUUUAAUAUACAAGUUAUCUAUUUGAAAACUUAAACAUUAUAAUGGACCAUUUGCGUCAAAAGUGUUCAGGGAAACGAGCGUCUUAACUGUGUAUAGUAUAAUAAAAAUAAGGCUUUACAGUCUAUUUACUUUAUAAUGCCCACAGGAAAGAUUCAUAAUCUAAACACAUACUAAAAAGUAUUUGAGAUUAUUUAACUUUUUUACUUAUACAUCUACAACGCUAAUUAAAUGAUGAAUUGAUGACUAAUAUUAAUUGUUGAGGAUAAAAGGAUAGGCAAUUUGCGCCAUUUGUAUGGAACGUAGGAUUCUCGCCGUCGGUAGUCGAACUACUCAAAACUGGUUUUCGACCUCUAAUCUAACGUCACGAAACUGGUAACGUAAGUAUAUUAAAUUUAGUUUAAUGGUAUUCGGUGUUAAGAUAACGUUACGGGUUACUGCACAUUAAACAAUACGUAGGCAUAGGUACUAUUCCUAGCCCUAGUAAUCUUCUCACACAUGUACGUAAAUAAUUAAAAGUUUAAAUAUAGGGCUUAAAUACGAAAAUCAAAAAGUGUUGCAAAUUGCACAUGGUGUGGCGAAAAAUAUACUUAAACGGGCAUGUUGUGGGAAUUUUUUUUUUUUGUAAUAUUAAGAUCAAUAUUUAUUUUACAUUUAUCUCUUUUAUCUCAGAACUGCUGAGCGAGCCUACAUUUUAUUUAAAAACACAGAUUAUGUUUCUUUACUUAUAAGUUAAUCUAACGAUUAGAGGAAAACAUUAAGAAGGUCAAGCAUCACUCGAUCUAACGAAAGAAGUAAAAAAAAUGUGUGACCGUUCGUGACCCUUGGGGCGCCGUUCUGCCUCGGGGCAAUUUGGGUAUUUGGCUGUUUUUUAAUUAUUCUUUUCUUGCUAUGGUGAAUAAUGUGUCAAGUUACAGUAGCAUAAUAAAAGUCCGCUCCUCCGUUUUCUAUAGUCCGCCAAAUUAUGAACUUUAUCACGAAUAAUUUUGUCGUAUCUAUGUGCUAUUUUCAUUAAAAGUAACAGAAGCCUAAAUCACAUAGGUACGAGUAAGUACUAAAAAAUAUGAAAAUUAGAUAUUUACUUUUUCUCCAUUUUGUCUAAAAUCGUUAAAAUAUGUUUUGUUAUUAAGCUGCAUUUUACAAUAUGCACUUAAGGGGUAAGGGGUAAAAUUAAAUCCUGAUAGUUUUUAAUGUCGAGAUCAUGUCGUAGGGUGUACUAGAAACCAAGCAACAUUAGUAGCAACUGACUGAUCCAGCGGUCUCUGCGGUUGCGCUGGGUCAUGACAAAUUCGUGAACGCGCGCCCAUCCUACGGAGAAUCAUUCUCAGAACCACCAACAUUUGUAAUAGUUGUACCGAAUGCUAAUGCUGAGCUGAAAUGGUGUUUUUUUUUUUAAAUAUUAUUGUCAUGUGGCUGCAAUGCAAUGCUAAUGUACUUAAUGUACCAAAUUGAUUCUUAUUCCUGCUUCUCAGGGUUUCCUUUAUUAAUACAAGAAUGCCCCGUUACAACACCCCGUUCUACUUAAUGAUGAAAAGGCACGAGUGUCUGCGGUUUUUCAACUCCACUUCAAAUGGAGGUAACAAUUUACGUUUUAGAAAGAUUGCUAAAAAAGUCGUUAGCGGUAAUGGUGUCACCAGUUUAAUGUGUUUUUGAAACGAAAAUCAUUAACGAGACGGAAAUUAGAAAUUUAUGAAUCCUCAUUCGUUAUGGAAUUGCGUCGUUUUGGUACAUAAUUACUAAAGAAGAAUCAUUCUAUUGAAUAAAUGUUGUGAAAUGUUAGCAUUCCUGACGAACUCCUAGCAUCAUGUACUCUUUAGGAGAGCAUAUAAUUCUCGUAUAAUUAAGGUAGUUGAAUCUACUGCUAAUAUAUGCAUUAGUAGCUGUUUAUAUCAAACAUAUCGACCUUUGCCUUGGCAACUAUCGUUAGCAUGUCUGAUGUGCCCUUGCUGGUGGGAAAUCAUUAGUUGGUUUAACAAAGUAUGUUUAUUUAGUUAUGCUUUUUAAUUACCACUUAAAUUUAUAGCAUCAAGAUUAGAAGCUACAAUAAACUUUAAGAACACGUCUUUAUAUGAUUUCAUAUAUUUCGCGGGACUAAUAUAAUUAUGUUUAAAGGGUAUACUCUGUCAUGGUGUCAUGGUGUCGCAUAUAUGUUUCGCAAAAUAGUACUCGUAUUUUACUAGUCUAGAAUUUUAGUCAUUUGUCUAAUACAUGAUCCUAAUUUUAUGUAAGUAUAGGUGAAAAUAAUGUAUCCUUCCAUUAUGACUGUGCACAAAAUAACUACGUGCUUUGGAUAACCGCUAGGGCCCAUGUUGAAAACUCAAACAGUCGAGCUAAGGGUGUUGGAUGGGCAAACUUUAUUCAUUAGUUAUGUGUGGCCCACUAAAACUAAAGUUGUUCCCAUUCAAUGACACUCGAAACCCGAUGGGCUUCUCUAAGGCCAUGUUUUCAUUUAAUUUAUUUUUUUUGUCUGCAGAGGAAAACCACUUGCCAUAAUAAUACUAUUUGUUCAGUGCUACCUGGGUCAAAAUUAUUUUCGUCGUCUUGUUUUUUGUCGCCAAAAAAUGUGACGGAGUGUAGCUUUUUGUAUGACAUAAAAUUUUGUUAUUAAUUCUUAUCAUGUUAAAUGUAAUCUACAGCUAAAAGAUAUGCAAUAGCAGUCGUCUUUUUUAUUUAAUUGAUAAAAUACAGAAAUACUAGCGUGACAUUAUGUUUCAAAACAAGACCAUGAAAAAAAAUUCGACCCACCUGCUGAAAAUAUGCUACAGUACGAUUUAAACAACCAAGUCCGACCAAAAUCAUAUUUUUUCUCUUUUUAGUUCAUUUGUUAUGUAGUCGUAUGUCAUGUUUGAUAAGAUUAUUGUGCUUAAAUUCCAUUAAAGCACUAUUUGGUACCUUGUUUAAUGGGAAAACCGGCGCGCGGCAGGGAGAUGGGACAGUGCAUUAAUUAGGCACUGGACCUCCCAACAUCUUAGUUUAGGUACUAACAUAGUAAUUUAAGUAUAAUUGUAACUAACAAAAUAUGGAUUGUGUCGUCCGAAAUAAAUGUUUUUUUUUUUAUAGCCGACUCUACCCUAUAUACCGGUUGUUUAUUUAGUCACCUGCGAUAAUUUACGGGCUGAAUAUAAAGGUUAUACUGAGCAACUUUUACUAUGGGACCAACCCUGAAAUUUCGAAAAAGAUUUGGCUGUUUCAUAUAUUUUGGCUGUGUGACCUUGACUUUUCUAUGGGAGAGUAA